rnacentral:pre_miRNA from 1 species
UUAUGAUGAUGAUGGUGAUGAUGAUGGUGAUGACCAUCAUGGUGGUGGUGUUGAUGGUAAUGAUUAUCAAUGAUUAUCACAAUCACCACCACCAUUAUGAUGGUCAUCACCAUCACCAUCACCAUCACCA